rnacentral:rRNA from 1 species
UGCCUACGGGAGGCAGCAGUGGGGAAUAUUGCACAAUGGGGGAAACCCUGAUGCAGCGACGCCGCGUGAGUGAAGAAGUAUUUCGGUAUGUAAAGCUCUAUCAGCAGGAACGAGACAAGACGGUACCUGACUAAGAAGCCCCGGCUAACUACGUGCUAGCAGCCGCGGUAAUACGGAGGAUGCGAGCGUUAUCCGGAUUUAUUGGGUUUAAAGGGUGCGCAGGCGGACCAUCAAGUCAGCGGUAAAAUCGUGGGGCCCAACCCCAUCCCGCCGUUGAAACUGGCGGUCUUGAGUGAGCGAGAAGU